GUCCAGCCAGACUCUCUCCAUUAUCCCCCACAGCAGAAUAAGACUUAAAUGCUUCUAUCACAGAACUCAGAUAGUGGAUAUUUACUAUCUUACUCCUCACCAGUGAGACACCAGAGUAAGCAGCUCAUAGCAGGUUAGUAACAGACAGAGGCCUUCUGCCGUACUUCUGCACUGACUCACGCAUGACAGCGAUGCUUACAGGGCCGGCUACACAUCAUCGAUUCACGUUUCACAAAAUUCAGAUGAAAGGUCUUUUGUGGUCACUCCCAUGUCAAUGAACUCCCAUGACACCCAGACCAGCUCCCAGAAUGCAUCACUGGUCAUCAUCAGGGCCAUUUUGCUCAGCCUGGCUAUGUGACUGUCCUUCGUCCACGCCGCGUCAGAUCCACACCUACGACUGUGCGGCCUCUAGCAGACCCGACUUGCGGGUCAGAUUUACGUGCCCGCUGGCAGCUGUCUGGCCAGGAUGCCUGCCCAGACCAGACGAGGGCCGUGGCGAUGGACCAGCAGGAGCCAAAAGAACAGCACCAUACAAGGUAAAGAGGCGAUUCACUGUAGCCUGUGAACGGAAGGGGCGCCAUGAUGGAAUGUGGAAGGGUACCCACAGUCACUCAUUGCUAUACCUGUUUUACAGCAUUCUGGGAGGGGGUAAUAACCACAAUGCGACAGAAAUGGGGAGAAAAAUCCUGUUCUUUACAAAAACUCUUAAAUUCUCUGGGCUCACUGCUAAUGCAAGGGCAAUCUUUCAUCUCAUUACAAAAGCCAUUCUGCUACAUGAACCUUAUGCACAAAAACCCAUCAACCUCCCAAGUCAUCACCUACAGACAAUUUUAUUUGGAGCUCUGGAACAUCUGCAACUCAUCUAUAUUUUUGCGGAUUUUAAUAUCAGCAUUGGCCCGGGAGCCACAAAGAAAACACACUAGGCAUUUUAAAAAUACUCCAUUUCCACAUUAUAAUAUUGACACUAAAGCAGAUUCCCACCCCGUUUCUACCUCAUAAACCUCAGUUUCGUGGGACCCCCCUGUUAUUACAGGAAAGUAAAAAGUAUCGUCGAUUCUCCACCCAGCGUUUUACCACACCGUCCAGAACUGCUGACACUGUACAAUGAAAAAGACUACAGCUAGUUCAUUUUAAGAAACGAAGUAAGCAUUACGCGGGGUUAAAUGAGGAACCAUGAAUUAAGUUAUGUAGUACCGUUUGACUCAUUUCACAAUUAGAAGUCUAGCUUAUCUGACCUCAUUAGUUAUUGAUAAUUGUCAAACGACGUAAGAUGAAACGACUUUUGACUGAUACGCAUUCCCUAUAUCUCUGUGAUUUAUAUAACGUAUAUGCAAAUAACGAAUAUAUAAGUCCCAAGUCAUGUAUCCAGUUUUAAUAAUUUCAGUAUGAUUCAUUUUAUCUUGAGGAUUUAAAUUCCAGUGUAUUAUGUUACACUUACAAGUUACAGCUAUGGACAAGCUUCUUAUCUGCUUUGUUAAGUACAGUAGCUAUUGUCCCUUUUAAUUGUCUUACACGUAAAAGAUAAAUGGUCAAAACGCAGAGCAGAGUCCACGUAACAAAAGUCUUUUUCGAGCGGCACGUUGUAACUUUGACAGGUUCAUGUAACACACGGACCUUGAGCCAAUGCAGAUAGUAAACCUCACUGAUGAUCUAUUGUGUAAACAGGAGACACGUCCAAGUAGGAGAAAGACCAGAAAGACGCUAGUAGUGUCAAAAAGAAGAGUUACAUUUCAGUAGCACCGAGAAUGCAACAAUACUGGGAAAUGACCCAGCGAAUAAAUCCGACUCUAUGUAUAUGCGUCCGUCAGCUAACAGUUGGGGCUUGGAGUCCAUUCCAGGCAGCACAGGGCAUAAGGAAGGCAGAUAUACAGAAGCAAUUUAGCGACAACCUACCUGCACGUCGUUGGACUGUGAUAAGAAACCUAGACAACAGGGAGAGAAAAUGCAAACUCUCCAAACACAAAGUAGUGGUGGGAUUUGAAUACCCUGCCCUGGUUUGUGGAGACAGUGCUGCCCAGAGCCACUGUGCUGUUUAAGUACAGCUGCUUCAUUGUGAAAAUCUUUUUUUUUUUUCUCUUUUAAUCCCUAGCUCCGAAGUUUCCCACAAUAUUGUGUUGUGAAAAAUCAAAAAGAUUAUGGUGAAAUGACGGAACACAAAAUUGCUGAUGUAAUUAAUGUUUUAACACUGUUAAGGACGGUUGUAGAAUGAUAUACUGAAAGAACAGUAGAUGGCAGUAAUGAGUAAGUUUGGUAUGGUUACAAUUUUUUUGACAUUAAGAUUGGCUUCAGCCCCUUCCCGGGCUGUUCCCUGCCUUGCGCUUGUAGCCUCUGGGAUAGGCUCUGGACCCCCCAUGACCCUUAAUAGGACAAGUGGUUGCAGAAAAUGGAUGGAUGGAUGGAUGGAUGGAUAACUGGUUUCAAUUUGCAUCUGCAGUAUUACAGUAAAGUAUUACCAACAAUAAAACACACACAAAACAAUACAGAUAAACACCCAUCAUUUCUAUUGUACUGCUUUAGUCACCUUUCCCACUGCGUGUGAAUAAAGCUGGAGGUGGAUGAUGUGUAUGCACUAGUGGGUGGGGGGUUUUGGAUUUGGAAGCCAGAGGAACCUAGUGUUGAUGACACUAUUGUGGACAGCCCCCAACCCCCCCCCCCCAUGAGUGACACAACAGUGGGGGUGGAGAGCAUGAGAUCCAUGCUGAAGGACAAAUGCCGGCAGAGUAAAUAUCUUCUCACACAUCAGAGCAGAAAUCUAUGGCAGACACAAUCACCAUAGAAAUAUAUGACAUCAAAUUUUAAAGAUUCAAGGUUCACUUUAUUGUCCCACAAUAUAGGAAACUUGGAAUAUGCAAAUAAACCUGAUAUAUGCAACUAAUACAUACACCAGGUGAACAUGGGUUUUAGCUCCUAUAAUAGACACAACUAGCUACUAGCCCAUAAACAAAACAUAUUCAUGGCAUCUUUACUAUUGUCACAGGAAAGAAUUAUAAAAGAUAAUGCAGCACUCAGCAAUUUAUAAACAACAUUUAACUGGUGUUGAAAAAUACAGUGAGUCAAAGCACACAAGACCAGGGGUGAGCAUCCAUCAAGUGCAGGGUCUUGGGUUUAGCCUCUGGAUGUGUGUGUGUAUUGUUUAAAUCCUGUACCCAGUGAAUCACCAUGUGCACUGAAGUGUGCUGAAAUCACUCUCCACUCGUUGUCCAAUCCUACGGCUUUCAAAUCAGACCAGCAGCCCAAUGAUUGGCUGCUGUAGUGCAGUCGAUGUCACUGCCCCGGGCCCACUUUUAACAUUUUAAUUAUAAGGGUCUAGAUCAAUACUUACACAAAGCAAAUGGUUCCAGGGUUCUCUGCUCCAUGUCUGGGGGCAUCUAGCGACACCCCCAGUCCCGCCCCACUACCCUCGCCCCCCCCAUCCUAGCCCUCUCCUCUCUUAUGCCUCAGGACAUUAAUCACCUCACUGAAGAAAAUCUGCAGAUACAGAUUAUGACUUGGAUGUGAAUGUUAAAAAAAAGUCAUGCAAUAAAGGGUAAUAACUUCUGUUCAA